rnacentral:lncRNA from 1 species
ACUGUGGGGAUUAUAGCCAAAGCUGUAGAACAUACAUCAGAUCUGAAGCGUGUUGAUUGGUCAUCGUUAUCAACGGUUUUGUUGCGUUUAAGUGGCAUUUCACGUGUGUAAGUGGUGUUUUAAACCUUGUUGUCAACCAUAAUGGAGUCGUCUAAACGUCAAUGUAUUGGUGGUGAUGCAGUGGACAAUUUUAAUAAAACACUACACGACAUGUUAAACGUCGAGACAUGGGGGGAAAUUGAGAUGUUUAAUAAUGUUUUACAUCAAAUUCAAAAUGGUUGUGGUGCUGAAUCUGAUCCAGUAUCCUUAGAAGGAUCGUCGAUAAGGCAUGCUGUGAUAGACGGGUAUCAUGUUACACAUAAACCACGGUUCAAUGGGGUGGUACUGCGUCGUGAUAUUAAUUUCAGAUCCGUUUCGAGCAGCGACAUAACAUCAUAUAUUUCACACAUCCACGAUGUAUUCAAAGACAUCGUAAAAUUCUCACACACACUGGCCGGACAGAGCGGUGUUUUCGACGUCGCACUGAGUGGCGAUACCCUGGUUUCAGAUGUUAAUGCGAUCCUUUCACCCGCGAAUAACCAUUCGUAUGAAAUUCUGAUGGACGCCAUCGAAAAAAUAAUCCAAAGCAAUAAAAAAAUCAUGUGCGAUGAGACACUACACCUGACUGUUUCAAUCGCUAGAGGUCGUGAUGGGGGCGCACGGCGUAAAUUGCGUGAUUUGGCUCAUGAUCAGAUAAUAAGCAAGAACAGGAUGAAUCUAUUCUGCCCCGUUAAUGUCACAAACCAAUUGUGCUUCGCGAUAUGCCUGGCAAAUUUUGUAAACCCUGAGAAACCAACAGCUUAUUUAGAAAAAUUGGCUGCCACAUUUCAGACACGGUGUGGACUACCUAUUCACCAUAAAGUCGGCUUUAAUGAUGUUCCAAAAUUUGAGAGCUUAUUGGACAUCAAGAUUGUGAUCUUUUACAGAUCAGACGUAGGGGUGUUGCAGAAAUUUCAAACUAGCACUGUACCGCAUACAAAAACAGCCUUUUUAUACAUACACGAC